rnacentral:rRNA from 1 species
AUUCCAGCUCCAAUAGCGUAUACUUAAGUUGUUGCAGUUAAAAAGCUCGUAGUUGGACCUUGGGACGUCACGGUCGGUCCGCCUUCUUGGUGUGCACUGGCCCUCACGUCCCCUCUGCCGGCGGCGUGUUCCUGGCCUUAAUUGGCUGGGUCGCGGUUCCGGCGCCGUUACUUUGAAAAAAUUAGAGUGCUCAAAGCAAGCCUACGCUCUGAAUACAUUAGCAUGGAAUAACGCGAUAGGAGUCUGGUCCUGUUCCGUUGGCCUUCGGGACCGGAGUAAUGAUUAAUAGGGACUGUCGGGGGCAUUCGUAUUUCAUUGUCAGAGGUGAAAUUCUUGGAUUUAUGGAAGACGAACCACUGCGAAAGCAUUUGCCAUGGAUGUUUUCAUUA